UACGUAGGGUGCAAGCGUUAAUCGGAAUUACUGGGCGUAAAGCGUGCGCAGGCGGUUGUGCAAGACAGAUGUGAAAUCCCCGGGCUCAACCUGGGAACUGCAUUUGUGACUGCACGGCUGGAGUGCGGCAGAGGGGGAUGGAAUUCCGCGUGUAGCAGUGAAAUGCGUAGAUAUGCGGAGGAACACCGAUGGCGAAGGCAAUCCCCUGGGCCGGCACUGACGCUCAUGCACGAAAGCGUGGGGAGCAAACAGG
rnacentral:rRNA from 1 species